UUUUUGAUGUUAGCAUCUAGAAAAUUUAAAAGCACAUAUGUGGGUCUCAUUAUGUUUCCACUGGAUAUUGCUUUGUUUGGAUAUACCUUUCCCCUACUCCAAGUGAUCUAACCUCUUCCAAGUGAUCUAACCCAUGAACAAAUGCGUGAAUUAAGAAAGGGGGCAACUAAAAAAAAAAGGGGGGGGGCAAGUCCCUAUUCUGAGAUAUUCUAAAAGGCGGAGCCCACUCUCUCUGAAUUGAUAGUUUUUCUAUUUUAUUUUGUCAGACUGUUGCUUUUUUACUUAGAUCAUAGGAUUUCGGACCAAGAAACACUAGUGAAAAACUUUGUCCAUAAGGGAACAAUCUGUGUGUGAACGUGUGUGCGCACGCGCACGUAUACACGCACGCACACGCACACACGCAGGCAAGCGUGCGGGCGCAUGCGCACGCAGUGGAACACAAACCCCGCUUAAAUCUGAGCAUAACAGAAUUGCAGGAAACUUUCUCUUUUGAAGUAAACUGGCAACAUGACAAACAGAAAGCAAACAGCAUUCUCAGAACAAUCCUUGAUCUAUAUUACUACUGUAACAUCAGCCACAAUAGACAGCCCUCCAAUGAGCACACCACUGGCACCAAAGUAGAGCGAGGGACUGCUGCCUGCACUGCCCUGAUUUAGGUGUGGAUGAUGCCAGUUACUGCAGCAGCGGGGAACACAGAGUGGAAGGUCUCCACAUGUAAAAGCAGGAGGAUGCUGUUCAGCACUCAAUUCUUUUGAAGCUAAAGGAAAGCCAGAAUGUCACAGCCACACAUGGAAACUUGUAGCUUGGAGCCACAUGUGGAAACUUGUAGCCCCUAUUCUGCUUUUAUCCAAGAAGGAGGUGAGUUAAAUCUCCAAAUGUGCAGACAUUUCAUUCUAGGUCUUCUGCAUACUUCACUGGUGAAAAAGUAAAGAUAAAAAUGGAAUGUCAAGCCACUCAUGGAAGUAAAAUGGAACCCUCUUGUGUACAUGACCACAGG